CGAUGAGUAGGGCGGGACACGUGGUAUCCUGUCUGAAUAUGGGGGGACCAUCCUCCAAGGCUAAAUACUCCUGACUGACCGAUAGUGAACCAGUACCGUGAGGGAAAGGCGAAAAGAACCCCGGCGAGGGGAGUGAAAAAGAACCUGAAACCGUGUACGUACAAGCAGUGGGAGCACAGGUUUACCUGUGUGACUGCGUACCUUUUGUAUAAUGGGUCAGCGACUUAUAUUCUGUAGCAAGGUUAACCGWAUAGGGGAGCCGKAGGGAAACCGAGUCUUAAYYGGGCGUUAAGUUGCAGGGUAUAGACCCGAAACCCGGUGAUCUAGCCAUGGGCAGGUUGAAGGUUGGGUAACACUAACUGGAGGACCGAACCGACUAAUGUUGAAAAAUUAGCGGAUGACCUGUGGCUGGGGGUGAAAGGCCAAUCAAACCGGGAGAUAGCUGGUUCUCCCCGAAAGCUAUUUAGGUAGCGCCUCGUGAAUUCAUCUCCGGGGGUAGAGCACUGUUUCGGCUAGGGGGCCAUCCCGGCUU
rnacentral:rRNA from 1 species